GAUGAACGCUGGCGGCGUGCCUAAUACAUGCAAGUCGAGCGAACGGACGAGAAGCUUGCUUCUCUGAUGUUAGCGGCGGACGGGUGAGUAACACGUGGAUAACCUACCUAUAAGACUGGGAUAACUUCGGGAAACCGGAGCUAAUACCGGAUAAUAUUUUGAACCGCAUGGUUCAAAAGUGAAAGACGGUCUUGCUGUCACUUAUAGAUGGAUCCGCGCUGCAUUAGCUAGUUGGUAAGGUAACGGCUUACCAAGGCAACGAUGCAUAGCCGACCUGAGAGGGUGAUCGGCCACACUGGAACUGAGACACGGUCCAGACUCCUACGGGAGGCAGCAGUAGGGAAUCUUCCGCAAUGGGCGAAAGCCUGACGGAGCAACGCCGCGUGAGUGAUGAAGGUCUUCGGAUCGUNAAACUCUGUUAUUAGGGAAGAACAUAUGUGUAAGUAACUGUGCACAUCUUGACGGUACCUAAUCAGAAAGCCACGGCUAACUACGUGCCAGCAGCCGCGGUAAUACGUAGGUGGCAAGCGUUAUCGGGAAUUAUUGGGCGUAAAGCGCGCGUAGCGGUUUUUUAGUCUGAUGUGAAAGCCCACGGCUCAACCGUGGAGGGUCAUUGGAAACUGGAAAACUUGAGUGCAGAAGAGGAAAGUGGAAUUCCAUGUGUAGCGGUGAAAUGCGCAGAGAUAUGGAGGAACACCAGUGGCGAAGGCGACUUUCUGGUCUGUAACUGACGCUGAUGUGCGAAAGCGUGGGGAUCAAACAGGAUUAGAUACCCUGGUAGUCCACGCCGUAAACGAUGAGUGCUAAGUGUUAGGGGGUUUCCGCCCCUUAGUGCUGCAGCUAACGCAUUAAGCACUCCGCCUGGGGAGUACGACCGCAAGGUUGAAACUCAAAGGAAUUGACGGGGACCCGCACAAGCGGUGGAGCAUGUGGUUUAAUUCGAAGCAACGCGAAGAACCUUACCAAAUCUUGACAUCCUUUGACAACUCUAGAGAUAGAGCCUUCCCCUUCGGGGGACAAAGUGACAGGUGGUGCAUGGUUGUCGUCAGCUCGUGUCGUGAGAUGUUGGGUUAAGUCCCGCAACGAGCGCAACCCUUAAGCUUAGUUGCCAUCAUUAAGUUGGGCACUCUAAGUUGACUGCCGGUGACAAACCGGAGGAAGGUGGGGAUGACGUCAAAUCAUCAUGCCCCUUAUGAUUUGGGCUACACACGUGCUACAAUGGACAAUACAAAGGGCAGCGAAACCGCGAGGUCAAGCAAAUCCCAUAAGUUGUUCUCAGUUCGGAUUGUAGUCUGCAACUCGACUACAUGAAGCUGGAAUCGCUAGUAAUCGUAGAUCAGCAUGCUACGGUGAAUACGUUCCCGGGUCU
rnacentral:rRNA from 1 species